rnacentral:rRNA from 1 species
UGGGGAAUAUUGCACAAUGGGCGAAAGCCUGAUGCAGCGACGCCGCGUGAGGGAUGACGGCCUUCGGGUUGUAAACCUCUUUCAGCAGGGACGAAGCGCAAGUGACGGUACCUGCAGAAGAAGCACCGGCUAACUACGUGCCAGCAGCCGCGGUAAUACGUAGGGUGCAAGCGUUGUCCGGAAUUACUGGGCGUAAAGAGUUCGUAGGCGGUUUGUCGCGUCGUUUGUGAAAACCCGCAGCUCAACUGCUGGCUUGCAGGCGAUACGGGCAGACUUGAGUACUGCAGGGGAGACUGGAAUUCCUGGUGUAGCGGUGAAAUGCGCAGAUAUCAGGAGGAACACCGGUGGCGAAGGCGGGUCUCUGGGCAGUAACUGACGCUGAGGAACGAAAGCGUGGGGAGCGAACAGG